GGGGGCGCGCCCGCUCCGGCGCUGCACGUGACCGCGGGCGCCGUCAGGGGCGCUCGCCGUCCCGCCGCGACACCCCCCCAGCUUCGUGUUUCGCGUGGGCUCUGUCCCGCCGGUUCCUCCCGCGCCCGCGCCCCCCCCCCCCCUUCCCCCUCGCUCCGGGCCCAGUUUCCUCCGCCCUGUCCUCAGGCCGGGCCCCCUCGGGGCGGGCUGCCCGGGGCCGGUUGCCCGCGGGCCCCGGCGUUGGAGGAAGGGCCAGCGGCCGGGAGCGAUUUUUGCCCGUGGAACGCGGGGCGUGCGGAGGCGGCUCCGCCCGGCCCGGCCCGGCCCGGCCCGGCCCGGCUCCACCGCUGCGCGGGCGGGCGGGAGCGCGGCCGCUGGAGCUGCGCGCUGGGCCGCGGAGGAGCCGAAGCGCGACCCGGCGGGUGCGCGGGGACCCCUCGGGUGGGAGCCGGGAGAUGACGCGGGGGUUGUUGGUCUCCCACGGGAAGACGGGCGUGCCAGGGUGUCAGCCCGCGCCCGGGAGAUACUUUCAGCCAGUGCAGCAGCCAGGCAGGCUGGAUACUGUGACCAAGAGGAAAUGUCUUCAAAAGCAAGGUUUAUUGCAGUUCUUAGCUGCAUAAACAGAAGAAUGUCAACGGUAAAGGGAGAUGAAUUGUACAGGACAUUGAUGGAACCCUAUUGAAAAUGACUCCGUGAAAAGCCCUAGAAAUAGCGACAGUAGAAAAUGUAUCACUGGUAUGUGUUCAGAAUCUAUUUUAGGUUGAUUUAUUCAAAAAGGAUAUCAUAAUAUGCAGCUGAGCCUCAGAAGAUUUGAAAGACUGGAAAGGACUGUGUUUGUCGUGGAGGAAUAUACACAGUAAUAACCUACUUACUUGGGGAUUAGAUGCUACUUUCAAUGUUUGUUUAUUGCUUAGGUCUCAAAUUCAAAACCAGUAUUUCUGUUGUAUAAAUGGACAAGCUACAGCACAAGGUAAAGUAACUUGACUAUUUUAUUGUUUUCUUCUAAUUGCUACGUGAAAGUUCUACACUAUUGUUUUUUUUCUUGCCUUCUGUUUCUGUCCUCCUAGACAGGUCUCAGUACAUGUUUCAAUUAGUAGCCUUAAUUUAAAAAGAGGUGUGAUAGCUGGCAUUAAUAAGAAUACAUAAUUUGAAAGCAAAGUAAAAAUAUUUUUGGCAAGAUUCCUUUUCUAGUUGUAUUAUUCCGAAAGAAUUAACUAAAUCAAAGCAUGCUUAGAAGUAUUUACAUCUCAGUGUUUACUGAAACAAGAGUCAGAUCCUAUGUUAAAACUGGUAUGAUUCCAAUUCUUAGCUUACUGAAGGAAAUGUAUAAUUUGAAUUUUUGCUAAUCAUUUUAAAGAAGUGUCUUGAGGUCCUUACUGGGCCCAAACCGAUUUUCUUUUCAAGCUUUAUGUGAUAUAUAACAUAAGGAGAGAACUGUAAUGUCAGGUAUAGAGAAUUUAAACAAGGUUAUUUUUCUGUACAAGUACGCUAAAUUAAAAGAUGUACCUGAAGCAACAAGGGUAAAAAGUCACUAGUAGUGCUGCAGAAAAAGUAGAGCUUGAGACUGCUAUAUAUAUCCUCAAGAUAAAGAAUGGAGUUAAUUAUAAAUGUGGAAAUGCUUUUGAUGAGAUCCCCCCCAAAAAAGGGUAUCCUUCUGUGUAUUCUUGGGCCCGUAUCAAAUGCCUGUUCACAUUCUAAUCCACUUUCUGAAUCCCGUGGUUUUCUUCCCAUAAUACUGUGGCUGUAUUCAGUUCAGUUGUUGCUGUUUUGCUUGUUUAUGUUUAUAUAGCAUUCCAUAGGAAACAUCUCACAACAGUUUCUACUUCAUACCUAAAGAAUUCCCCAUUAAUUGCAGCAAUUGUUGGUAUUAUCAAAAGCAUGCUAAACACAACAGGUUAAAACAAGAAAUGAAGACUACAACUGAUACUGCAGGAAAAAUCUGUGUAGGCAGCAGUAGUCAUCACAGAUGGGAUUCAUUCAGUAUACUGCUGUUAGUUCUGCCACCCACAUAAUCCCUAUUAUCAUUUCCUAGCAAACACACUUCAUUAGCUCUGCAGAAAUCUCUAUUGCCUGUUCCAGCAUCUAGCUGAAGUUACUAUUAUGAUACAGAUAUCAAACAGUUCAAUGUUGCAUCAAUUAAAGAAAGUUACUUUAGGUUUUUGAAGCUGAUAAUAAUUAAAAGUAUAUUUUCAUUUGAUGACAAACAAUAUGAUUUGAAGAACCACUACCAAAUUCAUCCUUUACUACUAAAUGUAUUCUUCCUGCAAGUAUUGAGCAUUCAUAUAUUGUGGUACAGCUGUUCUCCCUGUUCCCUACUUAUUUGUUCGUUUGUCCCAAUUAAUUGAUACUAUUAACUCCAGAAAGAGAUGUGCUGUCACAGCUCAAGGGAGCAAGGUUCUGCCUUUUUGCUGAAGCAUAAGCUGACAUUUCUGAUUUGUAUACAGGGUGGAGUUCUGCAUUCUUUAUACUCCUGUGUGUGUUGACAGUGAUGACAGUUCAUAGGGGAGAGACAGUACUUUGAUCAUGUGUGUAGCUGGGUAUGAGAAGGAAGCUUGCACUGAAUUAUUGUAAGAGACACAAUAACUUAGGAAAGCUCAGUGAAUGAAUGGGAAGCUAGGAAUUUUGAUUCUUCUGCCUCUUUUUCUACAACCCCCCCUAAUGCUAAUGUGCUGUAAUGCAAAUUAAAAGCAGCUUUGAUGUAAACACGAUCAGAAGAUGGACCCAAAAUAAAACAGAAAAAAACCCUGAGUGUUUGUUUUGUUAUUUUAGACGGGAAAAUCCCCUAAAAUUAUGAAAAAUUGCCUGAUCAGAUUCACAAAUAGUUUUAUCAGUGCAACUAUGAGGAGCAAGGCACUGUGGUAUAGGGGUGGAAACUCCACAAGCUGGUGUAGCUGCCAGAGUACUCACACUGUUAAACCACAGUCAAAGACAUCAUAGUAUCCUUAGCACAACUUAAUUAUAACUUCCAAAUACUCCACUCUUGUGGUGGUCAGUUCAUUUUGAGUUAUUGUUUCCAAGUAGUUUGCCUGCAGCAGUGAAGUAGACUACAGGAAUUUCUUGUUUACAAGUUCUUCAUAAAUUACCAAAUCGGAGUCACAUGGCUUAAUAUUCUUAAAGAGAAUAUUAGCUGCUCAAUGGUAGUUGCUAAAGGUCACAGAAUUACACUAUGAAGAGCCUGCUGUUCAAGCACUAUCUUGUCAUGUCUUGUUCUACCCUUUACCAAAUUGCUAACCAACAUAUUUAACGCCUCAGGGAAUCUCCAUCUUCCUACUCUUUCCUUCCUAGUAGCUUUACAGAUUUCCAUGAAUGAAACAAUAGAGAUCUCACACAUUGAUUUCCUCGGUUUCAUUUCAGCCAUCUGGUGGUGAUGUCACGUAUAAUCACCUGGGUCUAACAAGCACCUGAUACUUUUCCUUCCUUGGGGACUGAAUUCAAUACACAUGUACAUACCAGCUCUGUAUCAGGCUCUAUUUGUACCACAAACUGGUUUGCUAUCAUGAAUCAGAUAAGGAGGAGCCCAGUUCAGCUGUUUUAGUUACUUUAGAUCAUUUCCUGCAACUUUACUCAUCCUCCCAAUUAACAUGAAUACACAUUUGGUGUUUUUCCCAAGUUAGCCAUUAAUAAGGUUAAGUAGGUUGGGCCCUGUGACUAAUGUUUCCUUAGCUCUGACUGUAUUUUGCUGCUCCCCUAGAGUAUUCCAUACUACUUGAUUAGCAUGCAGGGGAUACUCCAAGAUUCCUAAUUAUAGGACAACACUUGAGAAUGUUCUAGAAACCUCAGAGCUCCACAAUAAGAAAUCCUGGCCAUAAGUAGGGUCCAGCUGGGAGGGGCAAACAGAGAACUUGUAUUGAAAAAAGACCACAUCUUGCAUUAGCAUUGUUAUUAUUAAUACAGCUCCCUACUGCUGAGCUUUUAUGUUCUGUAUCAAUUCAAAACCAGAGAAUUACCAAUGCCACAGCAAAACUUGGUCAAGAUGGCAGUGCAGUAAUUGGGUGAGGCUUUUCAACCCCUGUAGGAGUUUGUCGUUCCACUAACACUGCAAAGGUAGUAAACAGUCACUUUGUCAUUCCUGAUGCUUUAUCAGAGGCAAGAAAUUAAAAAUGCAGUUGCUGAACUAUGUUACUACAAAGUUUAAAUGUAAUGCUCUCGUUUUAGAAAUGUCAACAAUAUAAAGAGGCAGCAGCUAAAUGGAAACAACAUGAUCCAUCAAUGAGCAAAACAAAUAGUGAGUUCUACUUCUCAUUCUUCUGCGGUGAGAAAACACUGAAAAAUCCAUACAGAAAUGAUGAAAGGGAUGAAAGAAUCAGCUAAAAUAUCAAGGGAAGAUGCAACAAGGAAAUCUCCAGAAGGUGGAAUAAAUGUCAAGAAUGCAUGAAAGAUGUCAUCUGUUCUUUUCAAAUUGAGAAUGCUAUACCUGCCUUUUUAAAAAAAGCUUCCAGAGAAAUAGGACUGCUAAUUUUAAUCUACUCAUAGUAGGUAUAGCUAUAAAUUUUGAAGGAAGUAAAGGCAACACGGUGUUUGGGAUGUUUACCAUCAGCAGGUAAGGUUAUCAAGCACCUCAGCAGUCAAAUACAAAAUAUUUAAGUUAUGGCCAGAUACUGCAGUCAGAGAGAUUGAAAAGCAAAACUUUAAUCAAGUUGAAAGAUGUUUCAGUGAAGUAGUUAAAAAGAUGUAUGUAAGCAUUAAGUCAUUAAAAUUACUUAAGUCUCUUAAUCUUCUCAAAAGCAGAUUAGGCUAAAUUUAAACAAAACAUGACACGAAGUCCAAUUUGGUUUUAUACGUUAUGUAUCCUUGGUACAGAAUUCAGAAUACAGUUCUAAAAACUGAUUUUUGUAAGAUAGCACAGGUUCCUAGAAUCUCCAAAAUACAAUACUAGCUAUGGAAUUACUUUAACAGCUAUCUGCAAAACCCACUAAUGACCCAUCCUAGUAACACAUAUAUUACUUAUAAAUUUUGAGAAAAAAGGAAAACUCUUUUCAAGUCAGUUAAAUGUUUAUGCUCAUAUUAACUGCUGCCACGGCGUGUGAUUUCAUUAUUGCCUUUAAAUUCUGAGAUUUUCAUGAGUUCAGGGAGCAGAUAUAAUAAUUUUCUCAUACAAUAUGGGCAUGUAGUUACUUAGUCCUUUAUAAAAUUUGUGACUUCAGUAGAGGUAAGGAAUUAUUCUGAAAGGCUCUUCCUUUAUAUGAAGGACAAAAAAAAUACAGUUGCCAAUAAUGUAGUGUUUAAAAAUCUCUGUAAGCAUCUUGCAUGGUGUGUUAAUAAAAAUACAGCUGUUGCUUUUACUUCUGCAAGGUUUAAAAACUCUUUAAAAAAAUGUAAGGUUUUAAAAAGAAUUUUUUGUACCCUUAAUUGCUGUACCACCAGUUGACAAAACGCUAAGAAUUAAGUCCUCACACUGGACAUACUAUUAAAUGACAUUUUAAAAGUAAAUGGAGUAUUUCAAAAGUUCUAGCCAAAAAAAAGAUACCAUUAGGAAAAAAAAAAAAAAAAAAGGCUUAGUGCUACUGUAACAAGUGUUGGCUAAUUCUAUUAAGUUUGGUUACAGAAAUCUGGGGUUUUUUUCAAAGUAUUACUGAAAGAAUUUCACAUGGAACUUGGAAGAAUUGUAGAAAACAAAAAAUGCUUAUUGUAAAAAUUAGGUUAACAGUACACUCCGCAUACUUUGUCCAACAUGUUUAAUUCCUUGUUGCUCAAUGAAUUUAUUCUUUCUGUAAUUACAGCAGAUGGAUCAAGUACAGUCUUAGAAUUAAAUUCCCUAUGGUUGUAACUUGCUUCAUUUACAAUGGCAAA